GACUUAGCCAGCUCUAAUAGCAGCUGUAGUCCCACCAGUCCAAGAGAUGAGCUGUUUGGAUUCAAGAAGUCUGUCAAGUUCAAUGACCACAUAGAUCAGACAACGUUCCGCACAGGUGCUGCUGUCACCUCCAUGACAACUGCCCUGAAGAGCAAACGGCGCAGAAACAGGAAGAGAGAGGAAAAGAAAAAUGGCCGCCAGCGACUCAACAGUGGAGGAUCAGAGGGAACAUCGAGUGGAGAAGAACUAGAGGCUAGACAGGCUUUAGAGGAGGACGAAAUUGCAUUAAACAGUGACCAUCAGGACAGAGAAAAUAAGGAGGAAGAUGUGAAAGAGAGCGAAGACACACAAGAUCAGAUCAAUGAAGAUGUUGCAGAAGAUAUGAAAGAAAUGGGAAAGGGAGAUAAAAUUAGCUCUAAUGUGAUAGAGACGUGUAAAGUGGCCUCGGAGAGUGUUGAAAGCAAGCUUGUAAAAAGCAUCAAGGAGAAAUUGUCCAUGUCUAAGUCUGAGCAAGGCAAUGAUAGUGAUGAUGAUGGUGGAGAAGAAAAUGAGAGUGAUCAAAAGGAUAAGGAAGUUCAUGUGAUAAUCAAAGACGAACCUUUAGAUUAUCGGACUAAACCGAAAAAUCUUGGUGAUUCUAAGCAAUCAAAUUUCAUGGAGCAGCUCGAUAAGUCAGCCACAAUAUCUGCCAAGCAGAGUGGUGAAGAUUCCGGAGUGGAGAGUGGGAUUGAAGGGCCAGGGGAUUCCUCGGAGAAGCAAGAGGAGGGGGCAAAGACUUCCCUCAGCUGGGAGGAGACGGCCAAGGUGGAUCCGGUGCCUGGGGGUGAGACCCAGACCCCCGGGACUACUGACCUGACCUCCAUGGAUCACAAGACCCAGUGUGCAUUCUCCUUCUCCAAUGCUAUCAUGUUUGAUCUCGAUGUUGACUAAGUCAACAUCAAUUUCAUCAACAACUCUUAUUAAAUUUUUUUGUAUCGAUUUGUACUUUAUUUCAAAUUUUCCCUUCUCCUUUUUGUUUUAAUUACAUGUACUUUGUUAGUUUGUGAUAGGUAUCUUUGUUGGACGGUGGAUGUUCAAUUCGUUGUAAUUGUUGCAUCAUUUGUAAAAACUGUGUUCAUUGAAAGGAAUAAAAAAUUUGACAUUUAU
rnacentral:misc_RNA from 1 species